GGAUUAAAACAGCUCAUUCAUAACUUUAUAUUAAAUGAACACUGAACUGAUAAUAUUUUGGAUAUGUUGGGUUAGAUAGAGAAUAUUGAAAUUAAUCUCACUUGUUUCUUUUCAUUUUUCUUUCUUAAAUGUAGCUACCAGAAAAUGUAACAUUUUAUCUAGGGCUCAUAUUCUAUUUCUACUGGAUGGCGCUUAGUCAGUAGAGAGAAAACAGCCCUUUGGUUUGAAAGAACAAGGACCGAGAUCUGGAGGAGACUUUGAAGCAAACGGGAGCUCUUUUCUGGAUUUCCUUUCCAUAUAGGAAGGAAAUCUGCUUCGUGUUGGAAAGGAGGAGGGAAAGUAACACACGAGGAUGGGGACAGCUCUCCAGCUUGACUUUGCCACUUGCUUCCUAUGGAGCCCCUGACCGACACUGACAUUCACUUCUGUACGCUUAAGUGGAAAUGCGCAUUUGGAUUUACAGACAGGAAUCCUGGAAAGUUUUCCCAGAGCCCAGCGCGCCUCACUCCUGAUCUCCGCCCUGCACUCCUCUCGGGCUGUGCUGAAGGUCAGUGACAGCAGGGGCAGGUGACUCAACCCCCAUACAGCUGGGUGGCGAGCCACCUGCUUUGGUUGGCAGAAUUGGCUCAAUCCCGUUUAGGCCUUUCACCAAGGACGCUCCGGAUCUUGAGCGAGAGGAGCGACAGCACCGCACCCACCUCUGCCGCAGCCAGGUACCACCUGCCUCUCUCCCUCCUGUCUUGCCAGGGCUCUGGCUUUAGCCACCAGCGUCCUUCCCGGGAGAGAUCACAGAACCGAAGCAUACAAGUGAAAGACGGCGGGGACCAGCCCCCCAAGCCAGCACUGUGGAGAGACAGCUUCCACCCUGCUUGCUCCAACUUUAACAGGUGCUGUUCAGUCUGUGCUUUUUGCCACUGGAAGUUUCCAAAAGGCCCAGCAAGACCCAUUCCUCUGGCUCACUUGCUGUGUGAAACACCCCAGGCAUGUGACCAGAGCUUGGAAAAUGUCCCCCCACACCCUUCUCUAAGUCUGACCCCAGGGCCUCACCUCCCAGGUGAGGGCGGCAGAGACACGGAGCCCAGAACCACACCCUGGGAGGACCUUAACUGCACGUAGAGAGCUUUGACCUUUGCUAUUUCCCAUCAGCUCUGUGGACUCUUCAGAGGGACCAGCUGGGAAACAAAACUGCAUUCACCGAGCUUGGCACCGGUUCCCUCAUUAAUCCUCUGA
ensembl:lncRNA